GACGAACGCUGGCGGCGUGCCUAAUACAUGCAAGUCGAGCGGACGGAUGGGAGCUUGCUCCCUGAAGUCAGCGGCGGACGGGUGAGUAACACGUGGGCAACCUGCCUGUAAGACUGGGAUAACUUCGGGAAACCGGAGCUAAUACCGGAUAAUCCUUUCCCUCACAUGAGGGAAAGCUGAAAGACGGUUUCGGCUGUCACUUACAGAUGGGCCCGCGGCGCAUUAGCUAGUUGGUGAGGUAACGGCUCACCAAGGCAACGAUGCGUAGCCGACCUGAGAGGGUGAUCGGCCACACUGGGACUGAGACACGGCCCAGACUCCUACGGGAGGCAG
rnacentral:rRNA from 1 species